rnacentral:rRNA from 1 species
GACGUAGGGGGCGAGCGUUGUCCGGAUUUACUGGGCGUAAAGCGCGCGCAGGCGGCGCGUUAAGUCGGAUGUGAAAACCUGGGGCUCAACCCCAGGCCUGCACCCGAUACUGGCGGGCUGGAGGCAGGUAGGGGAGAGUGGAAUUCCCGGUGUAGCGGUGAAAUGCGCAGAUAUCGGGAGGAACACCGGUGGCGAAGGCGGCUCUCUGGGCCUGUCCUGACGCUGAUGCGCGAAAGCUAGGGGAGCAAACAGG